rnacentral:lncRNA from 1 species
AGAGAGAGAGAGAGAGAGAGUCUUGUGUGCUAUUAGGAGCACGGAGGCCUUCAUGCUCUUAAACCGUUUUCGAUGAUGGAGCUUCUGAAUCGACGAUCAGCUCUGUUAGACUUGGUCUAGCAUAUUUGAAAUAUCUAGAAAAUAAAUUUUGUGACUUUUUAAUAUUAUUUACCUAACGAUCGAAAGAGUUCAAAAUCAACGGCUGAAAAUAAAAAUCUAACAAAAAGUGGUGAUAUAGUAUUAAAAUUUUCGAUCAAAGAUAUUGAUCUUGCUGUAAAUAGUAUAAAAAAUUUUCUAUCAAAAUUUCAUCUGAUUUGAAUACUUAUAUAUCGUUAAACUUUCAAACAAUAUACAUCAACUAUUAAAAAUUAUUAAUUUUGAACCCUUUCGAUAGCUAGAAAAAUAAUACCGAAAAAUCACAAAAAAUAGUUUUUAGAUACUUGAAAUAUGCUAGAUCAAGUUUAACGGAGCUGAUCAUCGAUUCGGAAGCUCCAUUAUCGAAAACAACUUUGGAGCACGGAGGUCUCCGUGCUCCUAAUAGCACACAAGACGUUCUAUAUAUAUAUAACAUGACCCUCUAAGAAGUAAGAACAAAUAUUUUGAAAAUGAGAGGUGGGACCCACACUAGGGACGUGUAACCGUGAUACAUCAAGCUUGUGCGAAGUGGGCUGCACACGACUCUCUUGUUUUAAUUUUUUAAGGUCACAGCUUGCUUUAAUAUUCUAUAAUUUAAAAUAUAUUAAUUAAAUAAAUUUUUUUUAUAUAAUUUAAAAAAAUAUUAAUUAAAAAACUAACGAAAAAAUAAAAAUAAAAAUGUGUCACUAAUUUAAUACAUUGUAAAUUAUAGAGCACUAAAGUAAGUAUGUGUGAAAUUAUAAAGGCGGUAUUUAAAGUUUAUUUUUUUUUAUUUUAAUAUAAUUCUUUUUUGAUUUUUUAAAUAUUUUUUAGGCACAUCAC